rnacentral:rRNA from 1 species
GACGAACGCUGGCGGCGGGCUUAACACAUGCAAGUCGAACGGAAAGACCCUGCGUUUGUGGGGUGACGGGUGGGGAAUGGGGGGAGGAAGAGGUGAGUAACCGGCCCUUGACUUUGGGGGAGGUUCAGGAAGCGGGGGUUAAUCUCGUAUAGGAGACCCUGUACGAGGGAGGGGGGGGGAAAGUUUCGGCGGUUGGGGAUGGACGAGCGGCUGACCAGCUUGUUGGUGGGGUAGCGGCUGACCAAGGCAUGGACGGGUAGCCGGCCUGGGAGGGUGACCGGCCACAUUGCGACUGCGAUACGGCCCAGACUCCUACGGGAGGCAGCAGUGGGGAAUAUUGCCCAACGGGCGGAAGUCUGAUACAGCAACGCCGCGUGCGUGAUGCCGGCCUUCGGGUUGUAAACCGCUUUCGCCUGUGACGAAGCGUGAGUGACGGUACUGGGUAAAGAAGCACCGGCUAACUACGUG